rnacentral:tRNA from 1 species
AGUCGCGUGGUCUAAUGGUUAUGAUUUCUCGUUCACAUUGAUGUGUUCAAUAGCCCCGAGAAGGUUCCGUGUUCGAUCCACGGCGUGACUA